rnacentral:rRNA from 1 species
GACGAACGCUGGCGGCGUGCUUAACACAUGCAAGUCGAACGGAAAGGCCCUGCUUUUGUGGGGUGCUCGAGUGGCGAACGGGUGAGUAACACGCGAGUAACCUGCCCUUGACUUUGGGAUAACUUCAGGAGACUGGGGCUCAUACCGCAUAGGAUCUCCUGCUGCAUGGGGGGGGUUGGAAAGUUUCGGCGGUUGGGGAUGUACUCGCGGCUUAUCAGCUUGUUGGUGUGGUAGUUGCUUACCAAGGCUUUGACGGGUAGCCGGCCUGAGAGGUUGACCAGGCACAUUGGGACUGCGAUACGGCCCAGACUGCUACGGGAGGCAGCAGUGGGGAAUAUUGCAGAAUGGGCGGAAGCCUGAUGCAGCAACGCCGCGUGCGGGAUGACGGCCUUCGGGUUGUAAACCGAUUUCGACUGUGACGAAGAGUGAGUGACGGUAAUGGGUAAAGAAGCACCGGCUAACUACGUG